GAAACCCACGCCGCCAGCGCCACCCCUGCUUCGUCUCCCAGUGCCGGACGAAACCAACUGCAUCGCGCCUCCUCUUCCAGUUCAUGGCCUCCUCCGGCAAUUACCGGUCAUCGUUCUGAUUUGGUUUCACGUUGUGUUGGGUACUUGGCGUCUUGAAUUUUUAUGAAAGGUCAGAUGACUGGAUCAGUGUCAAACGGCCGUGGAUUAGCCUUCAAGUGAGGAAUAAGUACUGGAGACACUAAGAUUAAUGAUUAAUGAUGCACCGGCAUUCCCUCAAAGAGAAAAGAGUACUGAUGCAUCAGCUAUGCUGCUAUACGAAGCUCCCUCUGGCAUCACGCUUUUCUCUUUUGAUGGGGGCUACCUCCAUGAUUUAGUGAAGGACUUCUCGGCAUGCUUGCCACUGCUUAGUUUGGUAAUAUCCAUGAAGUAUGAGAAGGUGCCCACCCCCAUUGACCUUGUUAAUGAGGCUAUUGACGAUCGUCUGGCCAAGAGGCUAAUCAAGCUAUGUGGUUCUGAGAAGAAAUUAGUGUCGGAAGUGCUGAAUAUAAAAGACUAAUUGAAACAAAGCUGGCAAUAACCUGUCUGUAUGUUGAGGUUCCAGAUUGCGAAGUGAUAAUUCGCAGUCUGAAGAAUCCCAUGCGGUCAGUGAAGAUUAAUGUUGCAUUGGCUAUGCUGCUAUACCAAGCACCCUCUGGCAUGGCAAUUUUCUGUUUUCAUGGGGCGUACCUCACCACUCCAGUGAAGGAUUUCUGGGCGUCCUGGCCACAACUUAGUCUGAUAGUAUUUAUAAAGGUGGAGAAGAUGCCCACACCAAUUGACCUUGUUAACGAGGUCAUUGACGGUCACCUAGUCAAGAGGCUCAGGCAGCUGUGUGGUUCUGGAAGGAAAUUAGUUGUGGGAAGUGUUGAAUAUAAAAGAAUAAUUGAAUCGAGACUGGUUGGUAUAACUUAUAGUAUUUAGGGAAUAACCUGUCUGCAUGUUGAUGUUCCGGAUUGUGAGGUGAUAAUUUGCAGUCUGAACAAGCCCAUGUGUCUUUUAGUGCCUGAAGAACAAUUUGAGCCGGACAAAGAUUUAGAAUUAUUCUUACAUCAACGUGACUUUGACGUCAAGCUAGAGAUGGUUGAAAAAAUCUAUGAAGGAGACUGCCUAUCUCUUGCAUGAUACUGAAUCAUGUGAAAAGAAGUAUUUGAUGUUCUUUCGACUUCUUCUAAAGGAUUUUAUUCUUACAUCUGAAAUUGACACCGAGGAUUGGGUUUUAAUCCAGUUUGCAACGGCUUUGAAGAUGAUAUGUUACCCUGGAGCAUCGUAUAAAGUCUUACCCCCUGAUGAGAUUUUCUCAUUUGACGAGUGCUCAAAGAUAGAGGGUCAUGCACCUGGAUAUAAAAGAAGAUUUUCAAAGAUUGAUGUCUUGUCUAUCUACAAACAUGUUGCUAGACUCAGUUCAAAAAAGUGCAUACUAAUGGUCAAAUUGGAUAUCUGGAUUACGAAGGCUAAAGAAGUGCGGGAGAAGGCAGACGUCAGAGAUUAAGCGACCAUCAUUUUCGGGGAAACUCAAUAGGACUGAUUUAUGUACCGGCUCCAAAGUUGGCGAAGAAGCUAGUAAUAUGGAGACGUGUUACCUUUCCAAAACAGAUGGAAACGUGUUGUCUCUCUCAGCAGGAAAUUAAUCUCCCAGGUCGAUCAGGGAAGGGAUGCUUCGUUC